GACGAACGCUGGCGGCGUGCUUAACACAUGCAAGUCGAACGGAAAGGCCCUGCUUUUGUGGGGUGCUCGAGUGGCGAACGGGUGAGUAGCACGUGAGUAACCUGCCCUUGACUUUGGGAUAACUUCAGGAAACUGGGGCUAAUACCGGAUAGGAGCUCCUGCUGCAUGGUGGGGGUUGGAAAGUUUCGGCGGUUGGGGAUGGACUCGCGGCUUAUCAGCUUGUUGGUGGGGUAGUGGCUUACCAAGGCUUUGACGGGUAGCCGGCCUGAGAGGGUGACCGGCCACAUUGGGACUGAGAUACGGCCCAGACUCCUACGGGAGGCAGCAGUGGGGAAUAUUGCACAAUGGGAGGAAGCCUGAUGCAGCAACGCCGCGUGCGGGAUGACGGCCUUCGGGUUGUAAACCGCUUUCGCCUGUGACGAAGCGUGAGUGACGGUAAUGGGUAAAGAAGCACCGGCUAACUACGUG
rnacentral:rRNA from 1 species